UGGGGAAUAUUGGACAAUGGGCGCAAGCCUGAUCCAGCCAUGCCGCGUGAGUGAUGAAGGCCCUAGGGUUGUAAAGCUCUUUCACCGGUGAAGAUAAUGACGGUAACCGGAGAAGAAGCCCCGGCUAACUUCGUGCCAGCAGCCGCGGUAAUACGAAGGGGGCUAGCGUUGUUCGGAUUUACUGGGCGUAAAGCGCACGUAGGCGGACUUUUAAGUCAGGGGUGAAAUCCCGGGGCUCAACCCCGGAACUGCCUUUGAUACUGGAAGUCUUGAGUAUGGUAGAGGUGAGUGGAAUUCCGAGUGUAGAGGUGAAAUUCGUAGAUAUUCGGAGGAACACCAGUGGCGAAGGCGGCUCACUGGACCAUUACUGACGCAGAGGUGCGAAAGCGUGGGGAGCAAACAGG
rnacentral:rRNA from 1 species